rnacentral:rRNA from 1 species
GAUGAACGCUGGCGGCGUGCCUAAUACAUGCAAGUCGAGCGAAUGGAUUAAGAGCUUGCUCUUAUGAAGUUAGCGGCGGACGGGUGAGUAACACGUGGGUAACCUGCCCAUAAGACUGGGAUAACUCCGGGAAACCGGGGCUAAUACCGGAUAACAUUUUGAACCGCAUGGUUCGAAAUUGAAAGGCGGCUUCGGCUGUCACUUAUGGAUGGACCCGCGUCGCAUUAGCUAGUUGGUGAGGUAACGGCUCACCAAGGCAACGAUGCGUAGCCGACCUGAGAGGGUGGUCGGCCACAAUGGGACUGAGACACGGCCCAGACUCCUACGGGAGGCAGCCGUAGGGAAUCUUCCGCAAUGGACGAAAGUCUGACGGAGCAACGCCGCGUGAGUGAUGAAGGCUUUCGGGUCGUAAAACUCUGUUGUUAGGGAAGAACAAGUGCUAGUUGAAUAAGCUGGCACCUUGACGGUACCUAACCAGAAAGCCACGGCUAACUACGUGCCAGCCGCCGCAGUAA